GCCGGGUGCAGUGGGGCAUGCCUGUAGUCCCAGCUACUCAGGAGGCUGAGGUGAAAGGAUCACUUAAGCCCAGGAGUUCUGGGCUGUAGUGCGCUAUGCCGAUCAGGUGUCCGCACUAAGUUUGGCAACAAUAUGGUGACCUCCCAGGAGUGAGGGACCACCAGGUUGCCUAAGGAGGGGUGAACCGGCGCAGACUGGAAACGGAGCAGGUCACAACUCCUGUGCUGAUCAGUAGUGGGAUCUUGCCUGUGCAUAACCAACACACUCCGGCCUGGGCAACAUAGUGAGACCCUGUCUCUU
rfam:Callithrix jacchus chromosome 15, whole genome shotgun sequence